rnacentral:rRNA from 1 species
AAGGCGGCGGCGUGCUUACACAUGCAAGUCGAACGAUGAUGCCCAGCUUGCUGGGUGGAUUAGUGGCGAACGGGUGAGUAACACGUGAGUAACCUGCCCCUGACUCUGGGAUAAGCGUUGGAAACGACGUCUAAUACUGGAUAUGAUCACUGGCCGCAUGGUCUGGUGGUGGAAAGAUUUUUUGGUUGGGGAUGGACUCGCGGCCUAUCAGCUUGUUGGUGAGGUAAUGGCUCACCAAGGCGACGACGGGUAGCCGGCCUGAGAGGGUGACCGGCCACACUGGGACUGAGACACGGCCCAGACUCCUACGGGAGGCAGCAGUGGGGAAUAUUGCACAAUGGGCGAAAGCCUGAUGCAGCAACGCCGCGUGAGGGAUGACGGCCUUCGGGUUGUAAACCUCUUUUAGUAGGGAAGAAGCGAAAGUGACGGUACCUGCAGAAAAAGCACCGGCUAACUACGUGCCAGCAGCCGCGGUAAUACGUAGGGUGCAAGCGUUGUCCGGAAUUAUUGGGCGUAAAGAGCUCGUAGGCGGUUUGUCGCGUCUGCUGUGAAAUCCCGA